rfam:Salmo salar isolate Sally breed double haploid chromosome ssa18, whole genome shotgun sequence.
UGGCUCAGUUGGUAGAGCAUGGUGUUUGCAACGCGAGGGUUGUGGGUUCGAUUCCCAC